rnacentral:rRNA from 1 species
GGAGUUAGCCGGUGCUUCUUCUGCGAGUAACGUCACAGAUGUAAGGUAUUAACUUACACCCUUUCCUCCUCGCUGAAAGUGCUUUACAACCCGAAGGCCUUCUUCACACACGCGGCAUGGCUGCAUCAGGGUUUCCCCCAUUGUGCAAUAUUCCCCACUGCUGCCUCCCGUAGGAGUCUGGGCCGUGUCUCAGUCCCAGUGUGGCUGAUCAUCCUCUCAGACCAGCUAGGGAUCGUCGCCUAGGUGAGCCUUUACCUCACCUACUAGCUAAUCCCACCUGGGCUUAUCCAUCAGCGCAAGGCCCGAAGGUCCCCUGCUUUCCCCCGUAGGGCGUAUGCGGUAUUAGCAGUCGUUUCCAACUGUUAUCCCCCACAAUGGGCAAAUUCCCAGGCAUUACUCACCCGUCCGCCGCUCGUCAUCUUCAAAGCAAGCUUUUGAAAUGUUACCGCUCGACUUGCAUGUGUUAGGCCUGCCGCCAGCGUUCAAUCUGAGCCAUAAUCAAACUCUGA